GCCCCGGUGACCCAGUGGUUAGAGAGUUCGCCUAAGAUGCAAGAGGUUGUGGGUUCGAUCCCCGAUCGAGUCA